UACGGGGGGAGCAAGCGUUGUUCGGAUUUACUGGGCGUAAAGGGCGCGUAGGCGGUCGUGACAAGUCACUUGUGAAAUCUCCGGGCUUAACUCGGAACGGUCAAGUGAUACUGUCGGACUAGAGUACAGAAGGGGCAACUGGAAUUCUCGGUGUAGCGGUGAAAUGCGUAGAUAUCGAGAGGAACACCUGCGGCGAAGGCGGGUUGCUGGGCUGAUACUGACGCUGGAGGCGACGAAAGCCGUGGGGAGCAAACAGG
rnacentral:rRNA from 1 species